rnacentral:rRNA from 1 species
GAUGUCAAAUCAUCAUGCCCCUUACGCCUUGGGCUUCACACGUGCUACAAUGGUCUUUACAAAGUGAUGCAAAACAGCGAUGUGGAGCGGACCACAAAAAAGACCCCAGUUCGGAUUGUAGGCUGCAACUCGCCUGCAUGAAGUUGGAAUCGCUAGUAAUCGCGAAUCAGCAUGUCGCGGUGAAUACGUUCCCGGGCCUU